CCACUGAAUGACUGGCCAUCAGAAUCCUGUACAACACUCAGACCUGCUUGCCAGAUAAGUGAGAUCCACGGAAGAAGGAGCCUCUGUAAGAUAGAGUACGUCCAAGAAAUGCCAGGCUUGUUGGCAGCAGCCGGCAACUAUCAGGCGGAGAGGUCUCUGGAGCAUCAAAGGCGUUUUCAUCCCUAUCUAUAGGGCUGGAGAUUUAGAAACGAGUGUGCUGCUCAAUAGCCUGCAAUUUAGUACAUCCUCACAAAACGAGAGCCUGCCUUAUAGUAUAUUAUCACUCCCCCCCCCCUUUUUUUUCAGCAGGCUUAACAGUUUCCUUCUUCACCAUUAUGGAGAAGUUAUCUGCAUGGACCAGGCUGUGGGCUGCGAAUCACUUUCUUUUGUGUCUGCGAUGAUGGGCCGAGUUAUUCUUUGUACUGGACCCAUGUGGGAUUUAUGCAAACCAUGCUCACUCAAGUGUCCUGGGGGAAUGUGAAGACUGAUAUAUAUUUUCACCAGAAUAUUGAUGCUAAAAAGGUGGUCAUUUGCAACAAGGAGCAGCUUGGGAUCAUUGGAAAGGCUGUACAAUUUCCAGAAUUUAAUCUAGUCACAUCUCCAUCUCCUCAUUCCAUUUUGGGACACCCAUUGUCCUUCUGA
rnacentral:lncRNA from 1 species